rnacentral:rRNA from 1 species
GCCCAGACUCCUACGGGAGGCAGCAGUGAGGAAUAUUGGUCAAUGGGCGGGAGCCUGAACCAGCCAAGUCGCGUGAGGGACGACGGUCCUAUGGAUUGUAAACCUCUUUUGUCGGGGAGCAAAGAGAUCACGUGUGGUCAAAAGCGAGAGUACCCGAAGAAAAAGCAUCGGCUAACUCCGUGCCAGCAGCCGCGGUAAUACGGAGGAUGCGAGCGUUAUCCGGAUUUAUUGGGUUUAAAGGGUGCGCAGGCGGAGGUGCAAGUCAGCGGUCAAAUUGCGGGGCUCAACCCCGUACUGCCGUUGAAACUGGCAGUCUCGAGUUGGAGAGAAGUAUGCGGAAUGCGCGGUGUAGCGGUGAAAUGCAUAGAUAUCGCGCAGAACUCCGAUUGCGAAGGCAGCAUGCCGGCUCCACACUGACGCUGAGGCACGAAAGCGUGGGUAUCGAACAGGAUUAGAUACCCUUGUAA